rnacentral:rRNA from 1 species
CCUACGGGGGGCAGCAGUGGGGAAUUUUGCGCAAUGGGCGAAAGCCUGACGCAGCAACGCCGCGUGGGUGAUGAAGGUCUUCGGAUCGUAAAACCCUGUCGUCAGGGACGAAGGUUGCAUGUCGAAUAGAUGUGCAGCUUGACGGUACCUGGAGAGGAAGCCCCGGCUAACUCUGUGCCAGCAGCCGCGGUAAUACAGAGGGGGCAAGCGUUAUGCGGAAUUAUUGGGCGUGGUGGGGGCGUAGGCGGGUGUAAUCCCCGAGCUUAACUUGGGAACCGCAUCUCAGACUGGGUCGCUAGAGUACUGGAGAGGGUGGUAGAAUGCCACGUGUAGCGGUGAAAUGCGUAGAGAUGUGGAGGAAUACCAGUGGCGAAGGCGGCCACCUGGACAGUAACUGACGCUGAGGCGCGAAAGUGUGGGGAGCAAACAGGAUUAGAUACCCUGGUAGUC